UCGGGCGUGGUGUAUGGAACAUGCUCCCCUCUUCUAAGAUUUGAGUAGUCACUUAAGAGUGGGAGAGAGCCGGGUUCGAUUCCUGGCGCCCGAA